rnacentral:rRNA from 1 species
UACGGAGGGUGCAAGCGUUAUCCGGAUUUACUGGGUUUAAAGGGUGCGUAGGCGGGCUUUUAAGUCAGUGGUGAAAACUCCGAGCUCAACUCGGAAACUGCCAUUGAUACUAUUAGUCUUGAAUUUAGUUGAGGUUGGCGGAAUGUGUCGUGUAGCGGUGAAAUGCUUAGAUAUGACACAGAACACCGAUUGCGAAGGCAGCUGGCUAAACUAAAAUUGGCGCUGAGGCACGAAAGUGUGGGGAUCAAACAGG